UGUCUGUCCGUGUUCGCUGCUAUACGUUUGUGCAUAGUGCAUAUUAUUAUAAUACGUAUUACCAAUUCGUAAUAUUAUCACAGCGAUUUGUGACAUCGUACAUUUGUACUACAUAAACAGAAAUCGACAUCUUGAACUAUUUUACAAAAACAUUUUGUAAUUUACAGUUUACAGCUUUACAAGAACAGCACCUGUGUUCAUUCUGACGUUACUAUAGUUGACAACCAUCCAAAAGGGCGUUAGUUCAGGUUUUUCAAUAAUUUUGCAAUAAUAUGAAUGUGUGAACAUAUGCCUAUUGUUUAAAAGAAAUAUGUCAGUACGAGAGAUGCAUAUUUGUUUGGGCACUGCCAAGUUGGCUCAAGAUCAAUUCGCCAGUGCCAUUAUUAGAAUAAGUACCUACUCAAUUAGUGUUUAGCUUACAUGAAAAUGGACUUAAUUUGAAAUACUUAUAUUUUUUAUCAGAAAAAAAGUA